rnacentral:lncRNA from 1 species
UGUUUAGUAUAUUGAAUAUAAAGAGCGGUGCAUAAAUUGUAGGGAAAACUUUAAAAAAUCCCCCUGUGGUUUCAUACUUUAUCAUUUUCGUAACUUGUGGUUUAAAGUGUAUCAAGUUAGUACCCUAUGGUUUUUCACUUUAUUACUUUAGUAUCCUGUGGUUUAAAGUGUAUCAAGUUAGUACUCUGUGGUUUCUCACUUUAUCACUUUAUUACCUGUGAUUUUAAUUUUGUAUUAAAUUAGUACCCUAUGAUUUUUAAACUACAAUGUACUAAAGUGAUAAAGUGCGAAGUUUAGUAAUAAAGUGCAAAACCACAGAGUACUAACUUGGUACAUUUUAAAUUAUAGGGUACUAAAGUGAUAAAGUGAUGAACUAUAGAGUACUAACUUGAUACAUUUUAAACCACAGAAUACUAAAGUGAAAAAAAAUUGAAAUCACAAUUUCAGUUUUAAAGUUUU